GUUCAAUUAAAUGGAGUUGCAUGAAACGAUCGUACUGCAUUACCUCUAGAUAUCCUUGUUGCCUAUUUUGAUUUUAAUCACCUUACAUUGAAAUUGUAUGGCUAAUACCGUACUAAAUCAUGGUGCCUCAACUUAAGUACCAUAUUCAUCUGAAUCUCUAUGUAUGUAUGUAU